CCAUCGAUGUUUUCACUAACAAUUCUGUGCUCGGUGCGAACAUAUUGAUUUCUAGUUGAUGGUGUUGGUGGACGUUGAUGGAUGACGAAGGCACGAUGGAGAAUUACCUUAAAAGAGCGGAACCGACAGAGGAAGUGGAGACGGAGUCAGGACAAAAACGUAAAAGGGAGCGAUCGGUGGUUUG